UACAGAGGUCCCGAGCGUUGUUCGGAUUCACUGGGCGUAAAGGGUGCGUAGGUGGUGAGGUAAGUCGGAUGUGAAAUCUCGGAGCUCAACUCCGAAAUGGCAUUGGAAACUGCCUUGCUAGAGGUUCGGAGGGGGGACUGGAAUACUUGGUGUAGCAGUGAAAUGCGUAGAUAUCAAGUGGAACACCAGUGGCGAAGGCGAGUCCCUGGACGAGACCUGACACUGAGGCACGAAAGCUAGGGGAGCAAACAGG
rnacentral:rRNA from 1 species